rnacentral:rRNA from 1 species
CCUACGGGGGGCAGCAGUGAGGAAUAUUGGUCAAUGGACGGAAGUCUGAACCAGCCAUGCCGCGUGCAGGAAGACGGCUCUAUGAGUUGUAAACUGCUUUUGUACAAGGGUAAACCUGAAUACGUGUAUUCAGCUGAAAGUACUGUACGAAUAAGGAUCGGCUAACUCCGUGCCAGCAGCCGCGGUAAUACGGAGGAUCCAAGCGUUAUCCGGAUUUAUUGGGUUUAAAGGGUGCGUAGGCGGAUUGAUAAGUUAGAGGUGAAAUGUCCGAGCUUAACUCGGGAACUGCCUCUAAUACUGUUGAUCGAGAGAGUAGAUGCGGUAGGCGGAAUGUAUGGUGUAGCAGUGAAAUGCUUAGAGAUCAUACAGAACACCGAUUGCGAAGGCAGCUUACCAAUCUAUAUCUGACGUUGAGGCACGAAAGCGUGGGGAGCAAACAGGAUUAGAUACCCCAGUAGUC